CGGCCGCUCGAGGACGCCCCCGGGGGCCGUCUGAGGCCGCACGGAGGGUCCCAGCGCACUCCGCACGGAGAGGGUCCCAGGAUGCUCCGCGCGAAGCCGGCGCGGUGCCGCCCGACGCCCGACGCACUUCCGGGCGCAAGCGACGCUCUUGGCGGCCGAGCGCGGCCCGAGACCCAAAGCCGCCCGUGCGCACGUGGGAUGGUGCGUCCCCCAGACCGACCUGAGGCAGAGCGUCGGGGGCUUGAAGGGCCCCUUCUUGUUCUCACUGGAAGCAGGACCCCGAGACUGGAGUGUGUACAGAGGCGGGCAGGCCAGGGGCCGGGGGUCCUGAGGCCCUGAGUCAGGAGCGAUGAGUGAGCCCCCUCGGGGUCCAGCGCGGAAGGCGUGGGAGCCUGGGCUCAGGUGGGAGAAAUCUGGGCACAGACGAAGGAGAAGAAUCCCAUGUUCCUAUGGUUCUGUCAAAGGUGCUUCCUGUUUCCAGGCUCGAGUUAGUCUCCGUCUGGUUCACACUGCAGCUCAACGCUGAGGAGACUCAAUCUUGGGGUUUCAAGACCUCGGAGUCUUGUAGGUGAAACAAGGUCGACAGGCCUUCCGGGACCUCAGUUCCAGGACAAUGAGGCUCCUCUGUAUCUUCCUCACUGCUCUCUCGAUCUUCUUCCAGACAGCACUAGGGCGCUCAAUUUUGAAAGACCCUGCCAUCUUCGGGGUGGAAUCUGCCUGAAGCAAGGGACGCCGAGCUGUGAGCCCUUCAGAGGACCUUGCGGGCAUUCACCGUUUGCUGCAAAAUAAAGCCGAGCUGAUGGAGGCAGCCCAGCUGAGGAACCUGGCGAGAGACCCAGAGCAAUCUCCUCUUGUGCUAAUAAAAGCAGACAGUUCUCACAUCUACAUAAUCGAAUGUUUUAUCAUUAGGACUGAUGUUGUUUUCCAUGGCAGGGGGAAGGAGACAGUUAUUAUGCUUAAAUUCUUGCCU
ensembl:lncRNA